ACGAACGCUGGCGGCGUGCUUAACACAUGCAAGUCGAGCGGUAAGGCCCUUUCGGGGGUACACGAGCGGCGAACGGGUGAGUAACACGUGAGUAAUCUGCCCUUCACUUCGGGAUAAGCCUCGGAAACGGGGUCUAAUACCGGAUAUGACCAACUUAUGCAUGUUUGUUGGUGGAAAGUUUUUCGGUGAAGGAUGUGCUCGCGGCCUAUCAGCUUGUUGGUGAGGUAAUGGCUCACCAAGGCUUCGACGGGUAGCCGGCCUGAGAGGGUGACCGGCCACACUGGGACUGAGACACGGCCCAGACUCCUACGGGAGGCAGCAGUGGGGAAUAUUGGACAAUGGGCGGAAGCCUGAUCCAGCAACGCCGCGUGAGGGAUGACGGCCUUCGGGUUGUAAACCUCUUUCAGUACCGACGAAGCGAGAGUGACGGUAGGUACAGAAGAAGCACCGGCCAACUACGU
rnacentral:rRNA from 1 species